ensembl:ncRNA H40L08.4 ncRNA
CGUUUUACCAGAGGCAAAGGCAGCCCGGUCGUAUCCGGAAACGGAACAAAUUUCACUUGGUGCGGGCAAACUGGUCAUAUUGCUUAUUGUCAAUGAAAACUUCAGGGGUUUUUUGGGCGGUUUGCUUAAAAGUUGUUUUUUUUUU